rnacentral:rRNA from 1 species
UACGGAGGGCGCAAGCGUUGUUCGGAAUCACUGGGCGUAAAGCGCGUGUAGGCGGCUUGGUAAGUCGGGUGUGAAAUCCCGGGGCUCAACCCCGGAACUGCACUCGAAACUGCCUCGCUAGAGUCCCGGAGAGGGUGGUGGAAUUCCCGGUGUAGAGGUGAAAUUCGUAGAUAUCGGGAGGAACACCAGUGGCGAAGGCGGCCACCUGGACGGUGACUGACGCUGAGACGCGAAAGCGUGGGGAGCAAACAGG